GACGAACGCUGGCGGCGUGCUUAACACAUGCAAGUCGAACGGAAAGGCCCUGCUUUUGUGGGGUGCUCGAGUGGCGAACGGGUGAGUAACACGUGAGUAACCUGCCCUUGACUUUGGGAUAACUUCAGGAAACUGGGGCUAAUACCGGAUAGGAGCUCCUGCUGCAUGGUGGGGGUUGGAAAGUUUCGGCGGUUGGGGAUGGACUCGCGGCUUAUCAGCUUGUUGGUGGGGUAGUGGCUUACCAAGGCAUUGACGGGUAGCCGGCCUGAGAGGGUGACCGGCCACAUUGGGACUGAGAUACGGACCAGACUCCUACGGGAGGCAGCAGGGGGGAAUAUUGCACAAUGGGCGGAAGCCUGAUGCAGCAACGCCGCGUGCGGGAUGACGGCCUUCGGGUUGUAAACCGCUUUCGCCUGUGACGAAGCGUGAGUGACGGUAAUGGGUAAAGAAGCACCGGCUAACUACGUG
rnacentral:rRNA from 1 species